AUUGAACGCUGGCGGCAGGCCUAACACAUGCAAGUCGGACGGUAGCACAGAGGAGCUUGCUCCUCGGGUGACGAGUGGCGGACGGGUGAGUAAUGUCUGGGGAUCUGCCCGAUAGAGGGGGAUAACCACUGGAAACGGUGGCUAAUACCGCAUAACGUCGCAAGACCAAAGAGGGGGACCUUCGGGCCUCUCACUAUCGGAUGAACCCAGAUGGGAUUAGCUAGUAGGCGGGGUAACGGCCCACCUAGGCGACGAUCCCUAGCUGGUCUGAGAGGAUGACCAGCCACACUGGAACUGAGACACGGUCCAGACUCCUACGGGAGGCAGCAGUGGGGAAUAUUGCACAAUGGGGGCAAGCCUGAUGCAGCCAUGCCGCGUGUAUGAAGAAGGCCUUCGGGUUGUAAAGUACUUUCAGCGGGGAGGAAGGCGAUAAGGUUAAUAACCUUGUCGAUUGACGUUACCCGCAGAAGAAGCACCGGCUAACUCCGUGCCAGCAGCCGCUGUAA
rnacentral:rRNA from 1 species